CUGCUUUGCAUGGGCCUCCUACAGCCCAGCCCAGCUGCUGAGAAUUCAUAAACCAGGCCUUUGCAGCAAGAACUGAACUGCACCAGACAGCAGGGGGAGCAAGAUGAAGUCACAGACCCAGGUCCUCAUAUCCCUGCUACUUUGGGUGUCUGGUGCCUGUGCAGACAUCGUGAUGACCCAGUCUCCAUCCUCCCUGGCUGUUUCAGCAGGAGAGAAAAUCACCAUCAGCUGCAGGUCCAGUCAGAAUCUUUUAUACAGUGGCAACCAAAAGAACUUGCUGUCCUGGUACCAGCAGAAACCAGGGCAAUCCCCUAAGAUGCUGAUCUACUACGCAUCCACUCGGCACACUGGGGUCCCUGAUCGCUUCACAGGCAGUGGAUCUGGGACAGAUUUCACUCUCACCAUCAGCAGUGUGCAGGAUGAAGACCUGGCAGUUUAUUACUGUCAGCAGGGUAUAAGUACUCCUCCCACAGUGCUUCAGAUAAACAUACUACAGUUCACAGACAUAAAGAAGAUAUGUAGCAAGGAGGGUCCUAAAGAGGAUGCUUAA